rnacentral:piRNA from 1 species
UGCCUGCCAAAUCCCCCUUGAUUUGGAA